CCUACGGGAGGCAGCAGUGGGGAAUCUUGCACAAUGGAGGAAACUCUGAUGCAGCGAUGCCGCGUGAGUGAAGAAGGCCCUUGGGUUGUAAAGCUCUUUUGUCGGGAAAGAUAAUGACUGUACCCGAAGAAUAAGGUCCGGCUAACUUCGUGCCAGCAGCCGCGGUAAUACGAAGGGACCUAGCGUAAUUCGGAAUUACUGGGCGUAAAGCGCGCGUAGGCGGUUAAGUAAGUUAAUUGUGAAAGCCCAAAGCUCAACUUUGGAAUUGCAAUUAAAACUAUUUAGCUAGAGUUUAUCAGAGGAAAGCGGAAUACAUAGUGUAGAGGUGAAAUUCGUAGAUAUUAUGUAGAACACCAGUUGCGAAGGCGGCUUUCUGGGAUAACACUGACGCUGAGGUGCGAAAGUAUGGGUAGCGAAGAGGAUUAGAUACCCUCGUAGUCCAUACCGUAAACGAUGAUUGUUAGAUGUUGGGAAUUUAUUUUCAGUAUCACAGCUAACGCGCUAAACAAUCCGCCUGGGGAGUACGACCGCAAGGUUAAAACUCAAAUGAAUUGACGG
rnacentral:rRNA from 1 species